GGUCUCUCUCUGCAUUCCAGGUCCUCAAGGUGUGGCAGGAUGAGCGACUACGGUUAGGAGAAAUUUGGAAAUGGCUGAGUCUUACUUAAAGCCCAAAGCUGGGAAUCCACUGAGCCUACUUUGAACAGAUGAGACGCAAUCACCAGCGACCGGAGGAGAACCCCCACGGAUGCCUCCACGAUGACUUGGAUGGGGAUGUUGAAGGUGUGGCCGGGGCUGGGAGGUGUUGGGUGCCCGGAGGGCUGGUACCCACCCAGGGCCAGCCUCAGCCCAGGCAGAUGGUGGCUCUGCUGAAAGCAGAGAGUCCCUCUGCGCCUCACACUCUUGUGUCAUGCGUUAUGUAAAAUUUCGCUGCUUUCUCAGUCGCGGAGAAACAUUGUUGCCAGUGGAGCGCUGGGAAAUAGACUGUAGACUGGAGGAAGUUUUGGUGGUAGGAAUGCUGGCACCGCCCAUUGCCAAUUUCAAGCUGCCCGCCCCUGAAUGAGGAUAAUCAGCUCUUGGGGGCCAGGGUGAGCAGGCAGGUGCCCUGCUAGCCCUUCCCCGCCACACACAGUUACUAGGCCACCAUCGGCGCCUUAUUUAUAAGGUUUCGGACUCCCUUCAAGACCUACAGCUCCCUGGGACGGCUGGGUUGUGGGAGAUCCUCGUCUUCCCUUCUAGGUCCUUCCUUCCUUCCUCCUCCUCCUGCUUCUCCUCCUCCAUCCCUCUUCCCCUCCUUCUUCUUUUCCAGCAUUUACCGAUGGCAACGCACCUGGGACAUCCUGCCGGAACGCUGGGCUGCGAAGAUGGGUCAGGAUUCAUCUCUGACCACGUAGGAAGGCCACGACCGUUUCCGUGUUCGGUGCUGGAGGGCUGCAGGGGGCCCAGGUGGGGUCAGAGGAGUCCUGUGCAGUACAGGAGUGAGCGUGGAAGGCAGGCUUUCUGGGAGGUGCUGGAGCUUGAGUUGAGUCACCAGAAGUGUCCCUGUUUGAACCUGUUUUUAAGGCUGAAUUCAUGUCAAAUGAAAGCCGAAUGCUGACAAUAAAAACGGCAGCAGCAAGCGUUUACUGAGCACGUCCUAUGUGCUAAGCAGGCACUCUGCCAAAGCCGGGUAUUAUUAGCUCGUGUAACCUGACAGCAACUUUAUGAAGAUGAUACUCUGGGGGGCCCCUCUUUUAGGUGAGAAGAUCCAGGCACAGGGAGGUUAAUAACUUGCCACAGACCAGGGAGCUUGUGAAAUGUGGAGCUGAGGUUGAUCGCAGGCGCCGCGACCCUGGAGCUACAAUCUCAACCACUGAGGACACACUGCUUCAAAUAACUUCACAGUAUACAAUGUAACGGAAAGUUUCCCAGGAGUUCGAAUUGAGCAAACAGGACCGGUUUAAACCACCACACACGCCCUCAAGAGCCCGGGGCCGCGACGUCAGUCUCAUAUUGGCAGAACGAUCAGAUGUUCCGAUCACAGAGCCCGCCAGCUUGGCGACAGUUCAUUAGCUGUAAGUGUAGUCGUAAAUGUGCCAUGAAGAAAUUUUCUGUAACCAAUUCCAGUAAUAAUUGGAUUAGAUACUUUGUUAGUGCAGGUUUCAAUAAAGCUGCAAUGUGAACUUCA